CCUACGGGUGGCAGCAGUGGGGAAUAUUGCACAAUGGGGGAAACCCUGAUGCAGCGACGCCGCGUGAGUGAAGAAGUAUUUCGGUAGGUAAAGCUCUAUCAGCAGGGAAGAAAAUGACGGUACCUUAUUAAGAAGCCCCGGCUAACUACGUGCCAGCAGCCGCGGUCAUACGUAGGGGGCAAGCGUUAUCCGGAUUUACUGGGUGGAAAGGGAGCGUAGCCGGCAGGGCAAGUCUGAAGUGAAAUGCCGGGGCUUAACCCCUGAACUGCUUUGGAAACUGUGCAGCUAGAGUGCAGGAGAGGUAAGUGGAAUUCCUAGUGUAGCGGUGAAAUGCUUAGAUAUCACGAAGAACGCCGAUUGCGAAGGCAGCUCACUGGACUGCAACUGACACUGAUGCUCGAAAGUGUGGGUAUCAAACAGGAUUAGAUACCCGAGUAGUC
rnacentral:rRNA from 1 species